CAUAUGCUUUGUUCAGUGAUUGGUUAUUUUAGGCAGGCAGGUAAAUAUGACUCUAGUUACUUCAUUUUGGCUGGAUGUGGAUGUCUCAUUCGAUUUCGUUUACUUUCAGUAGUACUUUUAAAAACAUUUCCUGGUUUCCAACAGUUACAGUUACCCAAGAGUUUCCAACAGUUACAGUUACAGAAACUGGUGAUAUGGCUGUGUGGGGCCCCAGUGUGUGAGUUCCUUACAACUUCAGCUACUUGAAGUUAGUAAUAGGCCCAGUUUAACAGGGUUCCAGUCUGUCUGGGGAAAUAAAUUCAAGCUGUUACAACUUAAUACAUCAAUUGCCAUGGUGGAAGUAUGAAAAAACAAUGCCUGGAUAUAUAGAAGCAGGAAGAAUAUUCUCUCUUUUAUGAGAUAAGAGAGUUGAAGGUGGCUAUGCCUGCUGCCGAAGAGAGAACCCUGAGUCACAAGUACACAAAUGAAAUGCGAUUGUCUUCGUGGGUUGCAUCGUAUGAUUUGGAGCAAGUCUUCAGGUCUAAUAUAAAGAUCUUUCAAAUAAAUCAUCCAGCUAAGCUUCUGUGGCCCCAAACUCCUAAUUUAAAAAUGUUGAUAAAUGAAGUACCUCUUUAGUUAAUAAAUGAAGUAUCUCUUUAGUUAUCCUUUGUCAGCAACAUUCAUUUUAAUGGAAAGUGAGUUUACAGGGUUACAUGAUUGAACUACUGAGCCAAGUCAGUGUUGGCAAAUGAUGGGCUAAAUUAUUGAUGCUACACACUAAUGAAUUCUGAUGAGAAAUAAAACACAGACAUUACGUUUGAAGUGGUUCAUAAUUAUUUUUGUACUUUAAAAGCAAUUUUAUUCUUUUUCCAAAUCAUACUGGUUCUGUAAAACAAAAACAUAGUUAGUGAUUAUACUAAAAUUAUUGAGUUUGUGGCAAAAAAUGCUCUUGCAAGUUUUCAUUUCUGUGAAGAUAAUGUUAUUCACACUAGGUUUCUGAUUUCCUUAUAUACUUCUGGGAAAAGAUAAUUAAAUUAAAUGUCUAAAUUUUAAAACCAGUGUCUUUAAAUAAGAUAAUCUGCUUUGUAACCAUGGUUAGCAUUCCAAUAGAUGUGUUUAUAAGCUAUGAUAUGUCUAUCAACACAUUUACUGGAGCUGUGUUGAAAUACCAUAAUUAGUUCAAGUAAUGUCAAGUACAGAGGGACUUCCAGCAGGUUUGUUUUGGUAAAGAGCUUAUGUUUAAACGUGUAGCAGAGAAUGCAAUGUGUACUGUAAAGUGAUAGAUGUUUGACGAAGUCAGGGCCUGAUGGCAAUAAUUGAAGCAGGUUCAAACCCUACUAAGGUACAUAGAAGUCUAUACAUUCUGUAGUGUAAUGACAAUGUCCUUUGAGCUUUCCUGACUUAACUGUCCCAGCCUGAGACUUUAAUUCUGCAAGCUUGCUGCCUUCCUUUUUGGUUAAGGGUUGAUUUAUAGUGGAGUCACUCAAACAAGGGCUCAAACUGAAGUGACCACAGGCUGAUUUUUAACUAAGAGGGAUUGUUCACUAAGAGGCAUUAAGGGUGGAACUCACAGUUGUCAAGGUGUUAGUCCACAGAUUCAUCACUUUCUGGUUAUGAGUCUCUGGACCCGUAACUCAGCUCUCUACAAUUCAGUUACCAAAUCCCCCAAAUGUGGUAACAAGUUCUCCCAUCCUAUCUGAGAGGUUUGUUACAAUUAUCAAGUCAGAUAUUGAUGAAACUGAAACCUGUUAAGUGAAUGUAAGGUAAAUUUAUGUCUUAUAUUUGACUGGAUUCUAGUUGGUUUUGUCAAGAUCAUAAGCACUCAUUUGGAAAAUAUUCCCUUUGCCAACUGAGGGAUCUGCAGGGGAAAGGAAUGAGAAGAGUUUUCAAGUCAAGGUUUGGUCAUGUUAGAUGAUUUUCUCCUAUUGAUAAUAUGUGCAGUUUCUUACAUGAAUGAAAAUCCAAAGGUUAAGCCUCCUAUGUUUAAGAACCUAUGAGACUCUGUUGGAUUGAGGUAGGAUACAUAGUGCAUUGAACUUUAGUUCUCAUUUGGUGUACACUUUCUAUGAAACAAAAAUAAAAACUGAGUCUGGUUCAUUUUAACUCUAUAACAUGCCAUUCUCACAUUGUUUUACUGAGUCCCUUUCUCCAUUUUCAUAAUUUUCUCUUUGUCUAUGGUCUAUGAUAGACUUGGCACCAUUUAUGAGAACAAGGCUGCUUCAAGUUUUCAUCUUUUUUGAGUUUUCUUUUAAAAAUGUAUCCUAAUUUUUUUUCUCUUGUUAUAACUGCACUGUUCAUUGUUUUAUGAUCUUGAUACUUUUGGAUGAAAAAUCAUGUGCCUGAGUUAAUCUCACAUCAAAGCAGCAUCAUUAUAUAAUGAUGAUGCUAAGUUGUAUGAAAAAUACCUACUGGAUAUGCUCCAUUAGUCACUAAUUUUCAAACGAAAAGUUCUGUCUUUGAAAAACUCCUCUCCCCCACACCAUUGACAUGGCUCUUCCACUUGAAAAAUGUCCUGCUGGCAUAGAGUGAAUUAAAAAAAAAUAAAAAUGCUGGAGUCUUUUGU
rnacentral:lncRNA from 1 species